UCGGACGUGGUGCACGGUGCACACCCGCGCACUGUGAUAGCAUAAGCUUGACACAAAGUAGUAUGUGGGAGCCCUGGGUUCGACUCCUAGCGUCCGAA